rnacentral:rRNA from 1 species
UACGGAGGGUGCGAGCGUUGUCCGGAAUCACUGGGCGUAAAGGGCGCGUAGGUGGCCUGUGGAAGUCUGCGGUGAAAGCCCGGCGCUCAACGCCGGGUCGGCCGUGGAUACUCUCGGGCUUGAGCUUACUAGAGGCAGAUGGAAUUCCGGGUGUAGCGGUGGAAUGCGUAGAGAUCCGGAAGAACACCGGUGGCGAAGGCGGUCUGCUGGGGUAAUGCUGACACUGAUGCGCGCCAGCGUGGGGAGCAAACAGG